GAGCCUGUUUAGAAUAAUGAGUACUGCUAAUUCCUCAUAACCAUGGUUCAAUUCCAUGGCACGCUCG
rnacentral:tRNA from 1 species